GGGAAGGAGAGCGGUGUUGAGACGGGGUUGGUUCCGGAGGGGUCACUGGUAAAUACGGAACAAAUACCGGCAGCAACCAAUAGCUUGUGUCCUAGCUGCAAGUACCUCUGUGAAGACUGCCCCUACGAUCCACCGAGUCCCGUCCCACACCUCACACGUACGGACGGUCAGUACAGACCAGCACAGAGCAGCGGGACGGCCGUUGCCUUCUGGGAGCUGUAGUUCGGGUAUGGCCGCGGGAAAAGCUCCAUUUUCCAGUGCCGGAGCCCUCGCCUCGCCUCAAAAUGCGGGUCCCCGGCAGGUAGGGGGGAGCUGCUCCUCCGCCCGCGCUCCCGUAGAGGGCAGCCUUGUCUCAGCGGCUCCGUGCGGCUCGGCUCGGCUCGGCUCGGCUCGGCCCGGCCGGGCGCCGGCAGAGGGUGGGAAGGAGUUCGCCCCUCCGGGCACCGUUGCAUUUUGCAGCCGUGCAGCGUUUUGCCACUCCCGCGUCUGCAAAAUUGGUUUUGCACGAUGUCUCUGGUUUUGGAGGGAAGUACAUUUUUGUGCUCGAGAUGCUGGGAUCUUGCAAACAUCAGGGGAGGUUUUUUUCAAAAGAGAAUUAUCUCCCUUGUCUUCCCCUUGCAUGUCAUGAUCAGCAGCACUUUCAAUCACUGGUCCUCCACAGAAAUUUCCAGCACCUUCUUUCUUCUGUUUUUCUGCAAGAAGGUUGGAAGGUUGCACCACAGCCAGCUCCCCUCACUCCUCAGUCCCCCAG
rnacentral:lncRNA from 1 species